rnacentral:rRNA from 1 species
UACGUAGGGGGCUAGCGUUGUCCGGAAUCAUUGGGCGUAAAGCGCGCGUAGGCGGCCAGAUAAGUCCGGUGUGAAAGUCACAGGCUCAACCUGUGAAUGCCGCUGGAAACUGUCUGGCUAGAGUCCGGAAGGGGCGAGUGGAAUUCCUGGUGUAGCGGUGAAAUGCGCAGAGAUCUGAAGGAACAUCAGUGGCGAAGGCGACUGUCUGGGCUGAUACUGACGCUGAGGUGCGAAAGCGUGGGGAUCAAACAGG